UUGAGUUGGUACUGCCUGAUAUGCAUUGAUGUCUUCGAUAGAACAGUAAUGUAGACAGUGUGCAACGACCGGAGUACUGAGUUAUAUAAUCAAGGCGGAAGCAGGGGCUCUGUCAGCUGGCACUGCAAACCAGGUGGACUUACGUACAGAAUCAGAGGAUAAAGAUAUAAAGACAAGGACUGUUGGAGCCAUUUUGCCACUAAAAUGGAAGGAGCUUAAGAAUGGAGCCGACAAGAAAAGAAGGGUGCAGUGAGUACAUCCCACUGGGAGGUAAGCUGACUCUGAGGCUUGCCUUAUCUCUGAACUUCAGGAUGUCUUGUCUGGCUUUCUGAGAAGAUAUGAAGCAGACGGACCUGAGCUGGAACACUUCAUUCUCCAGAGUGCUUGCUCAGAUGUGAACAGGCGUGACGAUGGACUCCGCUUGUGGAUCGUGACUGGUAUCUCUUUAUGGCAAGUAAAGAAAGGGGGCUGGGGCUUCCCUGGUGGCGCAGUGGUUGAGAAUCUGCCUGCCAAUGCAGGGGACACGGGUUUAAGCCCUGGUCUGGGAAGAUCCCACAUGCCGCGGAGCAACUAGGCCCGUGAGCCACAACUACUGAGCCUGCGCGUCUGGAGCCUGUGCUCCGCAACGGGAGAGGCCGCGACACUGACAGGCCUGCGCACCGCGAUGAAGAGUGGCCCCCGCUCGCCGCAACUGGAGAAAACCCUCGCACAGAAAUGAAGACCCAACACAGCUAAAAAUAAAUAUAAUAAAUAAAUAAAUUAAAAAAAAAAAAAAAAAAGAAAGGGGCUGAUCUUAGUUCUUGAAGCCCAGAGUAACACAAAGCUGAAUGGUUUUCUGCAGGUCACCACCAAACAGGAGAAAAGGACAGGGCUGAUAAUAAUAUAAACAUUUGGAAGCAGGACAAGAGACAAGAUUAGGGCUGGCCAGCUGUCUCUCCCACCAGAUACCCGGCCCUUCACCGUGCAGAACUGAGUUCGCCAAGACCACUAUCAGCUCCGAAUUCCAGCUCAGAGAGGGAGCUGCUGCUACUGCUGCUGCAUCUCAGAUGUAGGCUUCAAGACUCUUCCUCCAGUCAGUCACUGGCACCCUAGAGAGAGGGUCCUUCUUUGUCCCCAGUCACUGUUUGGAGCCCCACAAUAGCAAUGGAUGGGGUCCACUAGAGCCACUGUGUACAGUUGUGCAGUUCGUGCACUGCACAAAGACGCCUCAGGAAGGCGGCAAGUGUGGACUGAAAUCCAGCUUGUGUUCUGCUCACCAAGAGGAGUGCGUGACACUGUGCUGUGGACAGCUGGAAGAAGACUUUCAAAAUCAUGAUGUUGGGCUUCCCCGAGGGCACAGUGGUUAAGAAUCCUGCCAAUGCCGGGGACAUGGCCCUGAUCCGGGAAGAUCCCACAUGCUGCAGAGCAACUAAGCCCGGGCACCACAACUACUGAGCCUUCGCUCUAGAGCCCACGAGCCACAACUACUGAAGCCCCCACGCCUAGAGCCCAUGCUCCGCAACAAAGAGGAGCCACCACAAUGAGAAGCCCGUGCACCGCAACGAAGAGUAGCCCUCGCUCGCCGCAACUAGAGAAAACCUGUGCGCGGCAACAAAGACCCAGCGCAGCCAAAAAU